rnacentral:rRNA from 1 species
GACGAACGCUGGCGGCGUGCCUAACACAUGCAAGUCGAACGGGGAUUUUGUUUCGGCAGAAUCCUAGUGGCGAACGGGUGAGUAACGCGUAGGCAACCUGCCCUCCGGCCGGGGACAACACUCCGAAAGGGGUGCUAAUACCGGAUACGAAGUCUGUGCCGCAUGGUACGGAUUUGAAAGAUGGCCUCUAUUUAUAAGCUAUCGCCGGGGGAUGGGCCUGCGUCCGAUUAGCUGGUUGGUGGGGUAACGGCCUACCAAGGCGACGAUCGGUAGCCGGUCUGAGAGGAUGAACGGCCACAUUGGGACUGAGACACGGCCCAG